rnacentral:rRNA from 1 species
UACGUAGGGUGCGAGCGUUGUUCGGAAUUACUGGGCGUAAAGGGCUCGUAGGCGGCCAACUAAGUCAGACGUGAAAUCCCUCAGCUUAACUGGGGAACUGCGGCUGAUACUGGAUGGCUUGAGUUCGGGAGAGGGAUGCGGAAUUCCAGGUGUAGCGGUGAAAUGCGUAGAUAUCUGGAGGAACACCGGUGGCGAAGGCGGCAUCCUGGACCGACACUGACGCUGAGGAGCGAAAGCCAGGGGAGCAAACGGG